rnacentral:lncRNA from 1 species
GAGGCUGCUCUUGAUGUGACCUCAAACAGCUCUCUGCCUCAUUGGACUCCAGUUGCAAUUCUACCGAAGAGGCGAGAAGGAAGAAAAGAAAAUAGGCCUUUUGCUUCUCCAGCAAGACUUCGCUGUGGGUUUCUCAGAAUGACUGGCUGUUUGUUCAACUGUUUAGAUAAAAUUGGAAGCAGCAAGCACUGGGAGAAUAACUUAUAUAAGCAUGGGUUUAUUAGCAACCCGUGGCUCAAUUUUGGCUGUGAGGACAGAGCUGGGAGGUCUAACAGAAGCCAGGAAGCCUGUCUGCUGUCAAUCAAGGUGGAAACAGCUGUCUUUCGCCAUGUGGUACGGAAGAGCAAGCAGCCACCUUUACUCUUGUCCGUAGACAAGGAUACAAGGCAUCUCUGGGCUUCCACUAUGGUACCAGGGGCCUCUG